rnacentral:rRNA from 1 species
AGUGAACGCUGGCGGUAGGCCUAACACAUGCAAGUCGAACGGCAGCACAGUAAGAGCUUGCUCUUACGGGUGGCGAGUGGCGGACGGGUGAGGAAUACAUCGGAAUCUACUUUUUCGUGGGGGAUAACGUAGGGAAACUUACGCUAAUACCGCAUACGACCUACGGGUGAAAGCAGGGGAUCUUCGGACCUUGCGCGAUUGUAUGAGCCGAUGUCGGAUUAGCUAGUUGGGGGGGUAAAGGCCCACCAAGGCGACGAUCCGUAGCUGGUCUGAGAGGAUGAUCAGCCACACUGGAACUGAGACACGGUCCAGACUCCUAAGGGAGGCAGCAGUGGGGAAUAUUGGACAAUGGGCGCAAGCCUGAUCCAGCCAUACCGCGUGGGUGAAGAAGGCCUUCGGGUUGUAAAGCCCUUUUGUUGGGAAAGAAAAGCAGCAGGUUAAUACCCCGCUGUUCUGACGGUACCCAAAGAAUAAGCACCGGCUAACUUCGUG